AAGAGAAAAGUGCAAAGGAAAAGAAAAGCACUGAUGCACUUACCUCAUCCUCAGUCUUCUUUCUUUUCUUCUUUUACUAUUUUUAUUUUCAAUCGUUUCAUAUUUCUUCU
rnacentral:ribozyme from 1 species